GCCGUGGAGCUGAAGAGGUUGCAGAGAAAUGGGGGUAGCGACUGUUACUAAAAACACAGGGCUCUGCAAAGUCGCAAGACGAAGUAUAGGGUCUGACGCCUGCCCGGUGCCGGAAGGUUAAGGGGAGUUGUUAGGGCAACCGAAGCGACGAACCGAAGCCCCGGUAAAACGGCGGCCGUAACUAUAACGGUCCUAAGGUAGCGAAAUUCCUUGUCGGGUAAGUUCCGACCUGCACGAAUGGCGUAACGACUUCCCCACUGUCUCAACCUGGGACUCAGCGAAAAUUGAAUUCUCGGUGAAGAUGCCGAGUACCCGCGGCAAGACGGAAAGACCCCGUGAACCUUUACUAUAGCUUGACAGUGAACUUCGGGUUAAUCUGUGUAGGAUAGGUGGGAGGCGAUGAAGCGUGGGCGCUAGUCUGCGCAGAGCCAGCGUUGAAAUACCACCCUGGUUAU
rnacentral:rRNA from 1 species